GGCAGUAUGGCAUAGUGGUAAGGAGCAGGGCUUGUAACCAAAAGGUUGCUGGUUCAAUUCUCGGUUACUGCAC